rnacentral:tRNA from 1 species
ACCAGGAUGGCAUAGUGGUUUGAGUGUUGGACUGCAACUCUGGAGACCAGGGUUCGAAUCCUGGCCCAGUCAUGGAA